rnacentral:snRNA from 1 species
GGAUGUGAGGGCGAUCUGGCUGCGACAUCUGUCACCCCAUUGAUCGCCAGGGUUGAUUCGGCUGAUCUGGCUGGCUAGGCGGGUGUCCCCUUCCUCCCUCACCGCUCCAUGUGCGUCCCUCCCGAAGCUGCGCGCUCGGUCGAAGAGGACGACCAUCCCCGAUAGAGGAGGACCGUUCUUCGGUCAAGGGUAUACGAGUAGCUGCGCUCCCCUGCUAGAACCUCCAAACAAGCUCUCAAGAUGUUAAGGAGUUGCAAAGAUCCUUGGAUGGGUGGAGGGAUAUUCGCAUCCAGGAAAGGGCCUUCUAAAGAACACCUGUUGUCU